UACGUAGGGUGCAAGCGUUGUCCGGAAUUAUUGGGCGUAAAGAGCUUGUAGGCGGUUUGUCGCGUCUGCUGUGAAAUUUCGGGGCUCAACCCCGAACUUGCAGUGGGUACGGGCAGACUAGAGUGUGGUAGGGGAGACUGGAAUUCCUGGUGUAGCGGUGAAAUGCGCAGAUAUCAGGAGGAACGCCGAUGGCGAAGGCAGGUCUCUGGGCCAUAACUGACGCUGAGAAGCGAAAGCAUGGGGAGCGAACAGG
rnacentral:rRNA from 1 species